AGCAUGGUCCUAUCUGCCAGUCCCGUCAUUCUUAAAGGAAAGGAGGACUUUUCCAGUCAUUAAAGAUCAGACACCAGGAAGAGGAAGGAGAUCUUUCAUACGAGGCCUAGUCUAGCCUCAGUUGGUCUCUCUGACCCGAGUUUCUGUUUCUUCUCUCAGGAGGGUCAUGAGAGAGCUGAAGGCCCUCUCGCUGAGUGGGGAGCCAGGUGGCAGGAUUACGUGCAGACCUGCUCUCCCGCCAAGUGCAAAUACCGCAUCCUUGCAGAGGGGAGAGAAACGCGGCCGUCGCCCUCCAUUUCCAAGUAGUCACUUGCGCUCUUUGACAGCUUACAAGAAGAUCGGAGUGAGGCAACAAACGAUGUUAAGUUGAAACCAAAAGAAAGGAAUGAAGGUAACAGCACCAGCUGCGCAAACCUGUAAAUCCCAGCAAGUCACUGAGUGCUGUGGGCUGGAUCC